rnacentral:rRNA from 1 species
GCAGCUAACGCACUAAGUAGACCGCCUGGGGAGUACGGCCGCAGGGUUAAAACUCAAAUGAAUUGACGGGGGCCCGCACAAGCGGUGGAGCAUGUGGUUUAAUUCGACGCAACGCGAAGAACCUUACCUGGCCUUGACAUGCAGAGAACUUUCCAGAGAUGGAUUGGUGCCUUCGGGAACUCUGACACAGGUGCUGCAUGGCCGUCGUCAGCUCGUGUCGUGAGAUGUUGGGUUAAGUCCCGUAACGAGCGCAACCCCUAUCCCUAGUUGCUAGCAGUUCGGCUGAGAACUCUAGGGAGACUGCCGGUGACAAACCGGAGGAAGGUGGGGAUGACGUCAGGUCAUCAUGGCCCUUACGGCCAGGGCUACACACGUGCUACAAUGGUGCGCACAGAGGGCUGCAAACCCGCGAGGGGGAGCCAAUCUCACAAAACGCAUCGUAGUCCGGAUCGCAGUCUGCAACUCGACUGCGUGAAGUCGGAAUCGCUAGUAAUCGUGAAUCAGAAUGUCACGGUGAAUACGUUCCCGGGCCUUGUACACACCGCCCGUCACACCAUGGGAGUGGAUUGCACCAGAAGUGGUUAGUCUAACCUUC